UGAUUACUGUAAACACCUCAUUCCUCUUCAUUUCUUUCACUAUUUUAUUUAUGAGAAGGGAAUCACUGAGAAGUUAAAACCUUGCAGCUGUCACAAAUGACUUAAGUUUGUUAGGACAAUACGAUUAUUCGAACAACUAAUGUGAAAGAUUUAGAUUUUCACAGCUCAAAUUAUCUGAAAAAAUAAUGGAGAAUGAAGGGAAGUAAAUGUUGUGUCUCCACUUCAGAUUUCUGCUGUUCUCCACUUCCUGAUGUGAGAGUCUGGAGAGAAGAUGUUGCUGUGACGCUGAUGGCACGAUGAGCUGACAUUUGGAGCAGAAAGCAGGAAUCUGAGGAUGGACUCAGUGAUGGAGGCAGCAGUGGAUCAACAACUCUUGGUUGUGAGGUGUGACUAGAGUUAAGAUAACACAGACGUUUCUGGAUGGAGGCUGUGAGGAGACAGAAGAGUUUUUAAAUAAAGAGUCAGACCAAAAC